rnacentral:rRNA from 1 species
CUUCUUAGGAGGACUGCUGAGGGAGCAUCA